GACGUAGGUGGCGAACGUUAUCCGGAAUUAUUGGGUUUAAAGGGUGCGUAGGUGGGAAAGUAAGUCAGAGGUGAAAGCUAGCAGCUUAACUGUUAAAUUGCCUUUGAUACUGCUUUUCUUGAGUCUAGUUGGCGUUGGCGGAAUGUGACAUGUAGCGGUGAAAUGCGUAGAUAUGUCACAGAACACCGAUCGCGAAGGCAGCUGGCUACGCAUAUAUUGACACUGAGGCUCGAAAGCGUGGGGAUCAAACAGG
rnacentral:rRNA from 1 species